rnacentral:lncRNA from 1 species
CUCAUUAUAAUUUAGGACUUUCACAUGGAAAGGCACAUAGCUACUUUGAAAUUUUAAAGAAAAUAUGUAUAUUGUACACCUUGUUAGAGGCUCUAAAUUAGCUGAUGAAAAUAAUCAAAAAUUUUGUCAGUCACCACAACAGUGGUUAAAAUUAUUAGUUUUGACAGACCAUAUUUAUUUUUGGUCUAGUAGAUAUUACACAUUAUAUGUUUUUAUCAAAUGGGAUCACAUUUACCAUACAAUUAUUUAUAGAUAUAAAGCUGACAAUGCUAAUACAGUGAAACCUUGCUAAACCGAAUCCUGCAUAAAACGGAAACCUGUCUAAAAUAAACAUGUUCCUAAGAACUGUCAUAUCAAAUUUUAUGGGUUGUCAACAUGAUUAAACUGAACAAAAUCUAAGUCCAGAAGAGGUUUGGUUUAAACAAGUUUCACUGUACUUGUAUUUUAUGAUUUUUACCACUAUACAUAAAAUGCUGUGAUAAGUAGCACAUAAAAUUAUUGAUAAAAGAGCCAUUUUUUUUUUUACUGCUUUCUGAUUUUCCAUAAAAUUGUUAUAACAUAGCAGGUCAUAUGUUGAAACACAUAUCAGUUGCUUUUGACUUGUGUGUCAUAUAAAGUUCCAUGCUAAACCAUCAUUAUUAAAUAUCUAUGCAUGUAUUUUAUUUUUUUCUGUAUUGUAUACUUCAAUAUAUGGUUGAAAGCAUUAACAAACAAGAUAUCUUUAGUUUUGUAACAUGGGGUGAUCAAUAACUUGACAGAUGUUCAUCAUGUUCUCGUCAAUAUUUUCAUGUAGUAGCCUACAGCCAAAUGCUACUGGCUCAUAACAAAAAUACAUGAAGAUAUGUUACAUUUUUUUCUUUAAGUUUCUAGCGAUCCUUCAAUUAUUGAAGAUUAUUCGCCGGUUGUCGACUAUAUAUUUUUAAGCCAACCAUACACUAAUCAGCUAAAUUUUUCUAGUUAUAUUAUAAUUAUGUGUACAAAAUUUAGCUAAUACACAUAUGUUCACCUCAACACAUAACUAUCUAAUCUUAUUGUAAAAGCUAUAAUGAACUUAACAAUAAGACCAAUAUAAUGUUUGUGUAAAGGCUGAUUUCUAUUAUCACAAUUAUAUUCUGUAUCACA